UACGUAGGUGGCAAGCGUUGUCCGGAUUUACUGGGCGUAAAGAGCGCGCAGGCGGUCGGUCAAGUCGAGUGUGAAAGCCCCCGGCUCAACUGGGGAGGGUCACUCGAUACUGGUCGACUCGAAGGCGGGAGAGGGAAGUGGAAUUCCCGGUGUAGUGGUGAAAUGCGUAGAUAUCGGGAGGAACACCAGUGGCGAAGGCGACUUCCUGGCCCGUUCUUGACGCUGAGGCGCGAAAGCUAGGGGAGCAAACGGG
rnacentral:rRNA from 1 species